UAUUAAGCGUUGAUUAGGAUGAGUAGAUUUAUUAUAGUUAUUUCAGAGAGAAAGUGGUUGGUGGAAACUUUUUAGCUAUAUACUUUGAAGCUGCCUAUGAGCUAUGAAUUACUAAGUGAUGUAUAGAACUUAUACAUAAUUAGGGUGGUACCGCGGAAAUUUAGCUUUCGUCCCUAUG
rnacentral:ncRNA from 1 species